GACGAGCGCUGGCGGCGUGCUUAACACAUGCAAGUCGAACGGAAAGGCCCUGCUUUUGUGGGGUGCUCGAGUGGCGAACGGGUGAGUAACACGUGAGUAACCUGCCCUUGACUUUGGGAUAACUUCAGGAAACUGGGGCUAAUACCGGAUAGGAGCUCCUGCUGCAUGGUGGGGGUUGGAAAGUUUCGGCGGUUGGGGAUGGACUCGCGGCUUAUCAGCUUGUUGGUGGGGUAGUGGCUUACCAAGGCUUUGACGGGUAGCCGGCCUGAGAGGGUGACCGGCCACAUUGGGACUGAGAUGCGGCCCAGACUCCUACGGGAGGCAGCAGUGGGGAAUAUUGCACAAUGGGCGGAAGCCUGAUGCAGCAACGCCGCGUGCGGGAUGACGGCCUUCGGGUUGUAAACCGCUUUCGCCUGUGACGAAGCGUGAGUGACGGUAAUGGGUAAAGAAGCACCGGCUAACUACGUG
rnacentral:rRNA from 1 species